rnacentral:rRNA from 1 species
UACGUAGGGGGCAAGCGUUGUCCGGAAUCACUGGGCGUAAAGCGCGCGCAGGCGGUCAUUUACGUCUGGGGUGAAAGCCCGGAGCUCAACUCCGGGAUUGCCUUGGAUACGGGAUGACUUGAGGAUCGGAGAGGCAAGGGGAAUUCCACGUGUAGCGGUGAAAUGCGUAGAGAUGUGGAGGAACACCGAUGGCGAAGGCAGUGGUCUGGGCCGGCACUGACGCUGAAUAGCGAAAGCGUGGGUAGCGAACAGG